CUAUGUGGCUUCAGGAAAAACCCUGGUAGAUGAAUGGAUUAAGGUGGAAUUUAGGGUGUGGGCAUGAAGAGACCUGGUCUAUAAAGAACACUGUAAAGGGACGAUCUCCUGUCAAGUCCCCAAUCUUCCUGAUCCUACUGGUCUAGGUCAUAGUUACUAAAAAGACCAUCUUCAUAGACAACAGAAAACAGGUUGCCAUUCGUUUGAAUGGAGGUCUCAUAAGGUAACUGAGUAUCAAGUUGAGGUCCCAGGUCAGGGUAGUGUCCCUAAUCUGCAGACAGAGAUUCUCCAAACCUUUAAUAAGCCUAGAUGAUACCGGAUGUGCAUAUAUGGAGAAUCCUUCCACUGGAGGAUAAAGUCUGAUAUUGUGACCAAAUGGACCUUAACUGAACUAACACACAACCCUGAUUUUUUUUAGAUCCAACAGAUAAUCUAGGAUGACUGAAAGUGGCAUCAAAUCAGGCAGAAGACAGUGACACCACCACCAAUGGAAGAAUCUCUUCCAUUUCUGCACAUAAAUAGUGUGAGUUUAUCUCCUCCUACUAUUCAGUAACACUUGUUAUACUUCCGUAGAGCAGGAGGAUUCUAACCCCCUGAACCAACAAGAAGCUGUGCCCUGAGGCAGAGAACCGCUAGGUUGGGAUGAAGUACGUGACCUGCAUGUUGUGACAGGAGAUGAAGACUGAUCAGGAGCCUGAACAAUGGUUAGACACAUAGGUGAAGCAGGAACCAGGCAGAACACUGAUUGAAGUCAUUGUCACUGCCCAUAUAAGCGGGCAGAGGAAGAUGUUAAGGUUGCUGUAUGGAGCCCCACCAAUCUAAAGGACAGUUCAACUACAAUGCACCAGUACACAGCAUUCUUCCCUAAGAGCAUGCGUAAAGAAUGAGGGCAAUAAUCUCAAAUUCCUUUUUUAACUAGUACGGAUCCAAGUUGUAAGGUUUGGAUUUGACCUUUCCCAAAGAUUUCUUCAUAGGUACAAACCCAUUGUAACUUCCUGCUUGUAUUGGAGCACUCAAAAGUGAUGCACACCAAGUGCUUCUACACCAAAGGUGAAAGAGGUCACUCUCACAACAGUCCCAGUGAGCAUUCCUAAAAUAAUCCCACAACUGAGACACUGCCAGCCAAGACAUCAACAAAUCCUCUCUUCAUUAAAUUACGUGACAUCAAAAACGACCUCCAAUCUCAUUAUACAAUGUGCGGACCACAUUACAUGAUCACAACAGAAGGGAGUGCCAUUCUCAAAGUACCUUCUUGCACUGAAUGCAUGGGAUUUUACUGAACUGCCACUUGUAUCCUAUAUUAUUACGUAGUAUACUACAACUAAGAGGAAUUAUAUUGUGUAGGAGACUGCAUUGCAUUCCUAAAACCUGCCUGUAUUUGCAUAUAGAAAUCUCUGGUAUGCUGUCUGAGACAUGCUAGUCAUUUAUUUAUAGAAUAGCCAUUUCACAUUUUGCUCACUGGCAGUGUCUCAGAGUUGCAUUUUGUGUCUGAGUGCUCUCCAGCAGGAUAAUAUCCCAACACACUUCAGAAUACUGUCCAAAACAUUAAUGCAAGAUAUCGUUUUUGAUAGAAUAAUGCUGGACAUAUUUGUUAGUAUGAGGGACUGAAAGCAACUUACAGCUAACUAGUUUUGUUGCCUUUUUCAAAUGAGGCAGGUGUCUUCCAACUAUUGGGGGGGAGGGGGAAAGCUUUUUUGGCUGUUGUAGCUCCAGACUCGAUUUGGCUCAAGGCACUUCCAUAAAGGUCACAUUCAGUCAACUGCCUACGCUCAUUAAUAUAUGGUCUGCACUGCUAACUGAGAUUUCCCUACUUGUUUAUACAAAUUUCACCCAUACUCAAAUCAAGUACCGCUUUGGCAGACAGCUAGGUGUGGUGCGGGGAGACAGUGGCGGAAUAAAGGUGUGUGUGUGUGUGUGUGUUAGGCCAUGUGGUCUGGCAGAAUAAGCAUAUUGCUGGGAGCCAGGAGGUUUGAAGUUCCACUCCUGGUUUUGCCACUGAGUCUCUGUGAUGCAUUGGCAAGUUAUUUAAUCUCCCUGUCUCAAAUUUUCCCAUUGUGAGGGAUUACAAUUUGUAAAGCAUUUUGCUCACAAAAUGUAAUAAUAUUACGUGAAGAAAAGAUGUUGAAAGAAAGAUUCACUCACUCAAUGAGAAAUACUUAUGAUGGCUUUAUUAUUUAUGUGUAUUUCUGAUUUCCUCAUAGUAUUUAACCCUUUCAUGCCAAAAGUCAGAUAUCCCAAUGCUGUCUAUUAACACAGGCUCCAAGAGAUAACAUUUCACCACUCCGGAAACUUCAGCUUCCAAAGGAGUCAUUGGAAAGUUUUCAAACUAUCAUGUUUCCUUGCCAUCCCUACUUAGAAUGGAUAUGGCUUUUUCCAGUCUGUUUCGCCCAGAAGUGAUUGUUUUGUUUUUUUGUGGCCAGGGAAGGGUAAAAAGAUUUUAUAUAUAGGAUAGUGACAGCAGCAUUGUGAUCAAAAUGUUCCUGAUAUGAUGGACGUUCACCCUGCUUCUCAUGCUUCACUAGUCUCACAAAACUCUGUGUCAAUAACUGGCCUGGAGAGAAUGAAUUCUUAAGAUGGGCAAGUAAUAUCUCACUUCUUCAUUACUGUCAUGGUAAAGGCAAGUGAGCAGAUUAGGUCUGGGUUGGAAUCUUUGCAAGGCCAUGCUACACCAUUAUGUGCCUAUGUUUUAUUUUUAAAGUGCUUGUCAGAAAUACCCACACAACUAUGGAGAUAAUUAUAUUGUAAUAUGGUUAUCCGUACUAAAGUAAUUUCACCACACAGUUAUGAAAUAAUUUUGCAUAUUACCAUCUACCUUCUCCAGUGAAGGGUACUGAUGAGGACUAUAUCAAACUUGGAUUAAGAAGCAUGGAGUUCAGUUCGAUUUGUCAUAGCAAUUCUCCUGACAUAAUCUGAACUAAUACUUCAUUGUGCUAAUUUUAAUAUUUGAAUUAAGAUGAGCUGUGCAGAUCAGAACUGAACUGUGACUACUACUAAGGUGUCCAUACUCUUCAUAUAUCACAUUUAAUUUUCAGAAGCUUUACAUGGUAUCCAUUUUAUAUGGUAAAAACAAAAGUAUACUGGAAGUGUGCAUGGGUCAAAUUGAUGAACAUCUGGCCCUGGGCAAGAUGCACACUUAGGAGAGGCCAUCUGAAGGGGCUAAUACAGUUUUAGUUCUAAAUUCAAAGCAUACAUUCCUAGUUACUGAUAUUAACAUUUACUUUACCUGUAAAUGAUUGCUGUGUGAGAAUUCAAACCAUGGUACAUU